GGUCACUGGAACCAAGCUGUUCAGAGUCUGACACUGAAUGUGAGGAAGAUAUUUUCAGAUGCCGAUCAAGAACUUUUUGAUGACUGCUUGGUUAAAUUCCAAGAAGAUGAAGUAAAGGAGAGAGAAAUGCAGGAGAAGAGAGAAUCAAUAUGGAAAAGAUUGGAGGAUGUGGCAGCCUCUAAGGCUGUAAGCAACGAGGCUGUGCUUGUCUCAAGGUUUGCCUCUGCUGUUGCAAUUACAGCUGGGACAGGUCCAUGCGCUACUGCAGGUAGUUGAGGGGCUCGGUGGGUGUAACUGUUGUGAGUUUACCCUUGUUUGUAGUUGAAUGGUAGAGGGGACCUCAUUGGCAUGAUAAUGGAAAUUGUUGCUUGGCCUCUUUUCGCCUGUGUUUCUCAUAUCAUCUUAUCAACAGGACAAGUGCAGGCAGGGUUCUGAGGUAACAGGUUAAUCCUAUUUUUUGGGUUCUGGGUUCAUUCUGCUUUAUUUUCUCUUCAACCGUUAAAGUGUAAGUGUGUGUAUUAUAAGGGAUUUGAUUUAUAG
rnacentral:misc_RNA from 1 species